GUUUUAAUAGUUUAGCAAAAAACGUCGGUCUUGUAAACCGAAAACGAAUUUUUUUCUUAAAACU
rnacentral:tRNA from 1 species